AUGAGGAGAAAACUGGGGGCUCUGCUGGGUCUUCUGUUGGUCCAGAUUUUCAGAGUGAGGGGGAUGCAGGUUCAACAGAGUCCUUCAAUCUUGACAGCCCAGGAGGGAGUCAACUAUUCCCUGACCUGCAAUUUCUCCACCACAGUGAACAAUGUGCAGUGGUUCCGACAGAAUCCUGGGAGCGGCCUCGUCAAUCUGUUCUUCAUAGCUUCAGGGACAAAACAGAACGGAAGGUUGAAGGCAACAAUCAAUUCUCAGGAGCGCUACAGCACCCUCCACGUCACGACCUCCCAACUGGAAGACUCAGGCACCUACCUCUGUGCAGCAGAGACACAGUGCUCCCAGGGCGCCUGCUGCCUGGACCCAAACUGCAGCUGGGCCUGCAGCUAUGGACAACCUGUUAAGGAAGGUGAUGAACAAAGGGAGAGCAGUUCAAACAUUUCACCAAAAAUAGUCAAUGAGUUUAGGAAACUGAAGGGGCUCUUUGUCCCCCAUACCACUGACAGUUCAGAAGAUUUUUCUGUGGUGACUCUUUGA